UACGUAGGGCGCAAGCGUUAUCCGGAAUUAUUGGGCGUAAAGAGCUCGUAGGCGGUUUGUCGCGUCUGCCGUGAAAGUCCGGGGCUCAACUCCGGAUCUGCGGUGGGUACGGGCAGACUAGAGUGAUGUAGGGGAGACUGGAAUUCCUGGUGUAGCGGUGAAAUGCGCAGAUAUCAGGAGGAACACCGAUGGCGAAGGCAGGUCUCUGGGCAUUAACUGACGCUGAGGAGCGAAAGCA
rnacentral:rRNA from 1 species